CCCCAGGCUUACGAUGUCCCAUUCAUACAGUUGUAGUACUAUUAUAUAGUAUAUCAAUCUGAUACUACAUUAUGUUGUGAUACCUGUCAGGUGUAACGAAAGGUCAAUCACGUUGUACUGCAUUUGUACAAUCAUUGAAAGAUUUGUUCGACUUCACACUAUACUUGAUAUAGAUCCAAAACAAAAACGUCAAGUUGAUUUUUUCAUAUUCCUUAUAAAAAUAUUGAUUUUGCAUACGUAUCAAGUUUCUUUCAUGAUAUCUUUGUACUUUUUCGAUUGUUGUUAAAUGUAUGAUGUAUUCUAUCACUACAUCGAGUUUGAUACGAUAUCUUUGUCCAUAUCUUUGUUUUCAUGUUUGUUGAUAUCACAUAUAAUACGUAUCCUGUUUCUUUCCCGAUAUCUUUGAACUUUUUCAAUGUUUUAUUCCGUAUAUUUGUUUUCAUAUCUAUAUAAAAUGUUGAUUUUGCAUACGUAUUCGUUUUCUUUAACGAUAUCUUUGUAAUGUUAUUGAUUGAUUGUUGGUUGCUUUACGC
rnacentral:lncRNA from 1 species